UUCUACUUCUUCUUCUGUUAAUGCGAAUUCGUUAUGACGUCCGCGACAGCAACGUAAACAAAUCCUAGCAUUCAUUACUUUUAGUGAUUAUAUGCCACUUUUAUUUGAGUGUUGUUUCCAUUUGCCACAUCUAUUAAUUGAAGAGGGUCGAUACAUCCUCCUAAGUGACACUCAAAAACGCCCUUGCUCGCCACCAGUUAUCCUCCUGCAGCUCUGGGAACAGUGCUUCAUCUGAGCCGGGGAGCCUGCGGAACAAAGGUUUGGUGUCCUGCCUGCGAGCUAUCUCCAGCAGAAGCCAGCCUGCAGAGCUGGCAAAGACUUCAAAGAUCCCCCGCUGAGUAAUGGCGAGCCCCUUUGAAUCCAGAUGGCCCCCUGCACAGCAUCACUGUGAGCACAGGUCUGAGCAUGCAAUUAGACACAAAAUAAACAGAUAUUCUCAUCAGUAAGUAAGCAAACAAACAAAGUACCAAUCAAUUAGAAUGAAGAUCAAAUGAUUUUUCAACAGAGCAGACACUGAGGGGACUUUAGACUUUGAGUGUUCCUCCAGUGGUGAGACAGUCCAGUGAAUCUGACAAUGAUGAGGAUGAUGAUGACUUAUCAGCCUCCUGGCGGGGCACAUUUUUUAAGAGAGAUUUAGUCAGUGAUCCGGGGACAGUUUCUCUAGCUCAGCCUCCUCUAGUCUGUCUCCAAGCACUCAGCCAUACAUGCAGGCUGCCAGUGCGUCAGCAAUUUUCUAUAGAAAACCUGCUCAAAAUGAUGAAUACAGCCUAAUCCCUAUCCUGGAGCAAACGAGUGUACAGUACAUGUACCUCAUGUGGCAGGGGCUUCUACAGCACUAGGAGCCUCAAUUGUCGCAUUGUGUCUCACACUCAAUGCAUGAUCCUUUUAACAGAUCUGUUAAAAGGGAGAUUUUUAAAGUAAUCUAGUUUUACACAGAUAAGAGUAUGUUCAUAUUUUAUUUAUUUGUUUCAAUGUGGAAGUAGUUCCAGAACAUAUU